UAAAGUGUAAACUGUCUGUGAUUGUGGCAACAUUGCUAAAAUCCGACGUGUCAUCAAACAGCUCUUCUACAUCAUCUGCUGCAUCACACUGAAUAACCUGCUGCUGCGCAAAGACAUGUGCUCCUGGAGUAAAGGCCUUCAGAUCAGGUAUAAUGUAUGUCAGUUAGAGGAGUGGGCUAUGGAUAAAGACCUUCAGGGCAGUGGAGCUCGUGAGAGUUUGGAGCCUCUCAUCCAGGCCGCUCAACUUCUGCAGAUCAAAAAGAAAAGCCAAGAUGAUGCUGAGGCCAUCUGUACCAUGUGUACGGCUCUCACAACACAACAGGUGAGUGUCUAGAUGCUUUCUGUACAGCCUCAGAUGUUUUUCAGUACUGAUGUGUGUCUGCUUCUCUCUGGGACGGAUUGUGAAAAUCUUCAGCUUGUACACACCAGUCAAUGAGUUUGAGGAGAGAGUGUCUAUAUCAUUCAUAAAAUCCAUACAGACUUUAUUAAAGGAUCGUAAGGAAUCUUCUCAGUUGCUGAUGGACCCCAAGAUCAUUUUUCCAGUGACUUUCCCCUUUAACCCUUCACCUGUAGCUCUGGAGACCAUUCAGAUACCCAGCAGCCUCAAUUUGAACUUCCUCACACGGGUUUAAAAAGAAGCCAGUGAUGUCAUACACAAACAUGAAAUAAUCAGCUAUAAAGACUAAUGGUAUGUUCGGAUUCAAACCAAAGCCUUUGGAUAUCAUAGCCAAACCAUCAGGACACUGUUCAAUAUUUCAAAUGAUUUCACUUUAGGAUUUUUAGAACUUAAGGCACAUUUUCACUCUCUGUCUGUCAUACAGUUAUGAGACAAAAUGGUUUAUAAAGGUUGAAAUGUUUUGUCAUUGUUUCCCAUUAUACUGUAUGUCUAGAAUGUAUAUGCUGCCUUUAUAUAAAUAAAAUUUUGGUAUUAAUUUAA